rnacentral:rRNA from 1 species
CGCCAGACUCCUACGGGAGGCAGCAGUGGGGAAUAUUGCACAAUGGGGGAAACCCUGAUGCAGCGACGCCGCGUGAGCGAUGAAGUAUUUCGGUAUGUAAAGCUCUAUCAGCAGGGAAGAAAAUGACGGUACCUGACUAAGAAGCCCCGGCUAACUACGUGCCAGCAGCCGCGGUAAUACGUAGGGGGCAAGCGUUAUCCGGAUUUACUGGGUGUAAAGGGGGCGCAGACGGCGAUGCAAGCCAGGAGUGAAAGCCCGGGGCCCAACCCCGGGACUGCUCUUGGAACUGCGUGGCUGGAGUGCAGGAGGGGCAGGCGGAAUUCCUGGUGUAGCGGUGAAAUGCGUAGAUAUCAGGAGGAACACCGGUGGCGAAGGCGGCCUGCUGGACUGCAACUGACGUUGAGGCCCGAAAGCGUGGGGAGCAAACAGGAUUAGAUACCCUCGUAAC